CAGCAGCCGCGGUAAUACGAAGGGUGCAAGCGUUACUCGGAAUUACUGGGCGUAAAGCGUGCGUAGGUGGUUGUUUAAGUCUGCUGUGAAAGCCCUGGGCUCAACCUGGGAAUUGCAGUGGAUACUGGGCAACUAGAGUAAGGUAGAGGAUAGUGGAAUUUCCGGUGUAGCAGUGAAAUGCGUAGAGAUCGGAAGGAACAUCUGUGGCGAAGGCGACUAUCUGGGCCAUUACUGACACUGAGGCACGAAAGCCAGGGGAGCGAAUGGGAUUAGAUACCCCUGUAGUCCUGUCCUUAUACAC
rnacentral:rRNA from 1 species